AACCUAAGACUAGGUAUUUCAACAGAUGGCAUGAAUCCGUUCUCCAUCCAGAACACCAACCACAGCACAUGGCCUGUUCUCUUGGUCAACUACAAUAUGUCUCCAACGCAGUGUAUGAGGUCCGAGAACAUUAUGUUGACCAUGCUAAUUCCUGGCCCAACCGCACCUAGCAACAAUAUUGAUGUAUAUCUACAGCCAUUGAUGGAAGACUUGCAGGAACUAUGGACAGAAGUGCACAUAGGUGGCUAAAGUUCAGUCGUAAACAUGUAUACAUGAAGAACUGGAGGCGGCUCAUGCCUAGUCAUCCAUACAGACGAAAGAAAGGAUGGUUUGACAAUACGGUUGAGGUUGGUUCUGCAAAGAGGAUUCAGAGCGGUUCAGAAAUAUUAGACAGUCUAAGGGACUUUAAAAACGAUUUUGGAAAACUCUUACCUAAGAAGAGUAAGAGAAAGAGGAGUGACGGAGAUGAGGAUGAUGUUGUUUCAGCUGAGGAGUACGAAGAAGAUCAUGAUAUGUGGCGGUGGAAGAAAAAAUCUAUUUUCUUUGACUUAUCUUAUUGGAAGGUAUUUUAUUUGAUUUACCUUCUUUAACUUACCUUAUUAGUCUGAAAUUGUUAAUAUUAUUUAUGCUAAAUACUUGUAAAAUUUUUUGUAGGAUAUGCCUGUGAGGCAUAACAUCGACGUGAUGCACGUGGAGAAGAAUGUGAGCGAUGCCCUGUUGUCUAUUCUGAUGAAUAGUUGCAAAUCAAAGGAUGGCCUGAAAGCGAGAAAGGAUUUAGAAGAUAUGGGUAUUCGAAGCAGCUUACAUACACAAGUAAGGGGGAAGAGAACUUAUCUGCCUCCAGCUGCGUCUUGGCUCUCUAAAGAAGAAAAAAAAAUUCUGCAGAAGAUUAUCCAACUUCAGAGUCCCUGAUGGAUAUUGUGCAAAUAUAUCCAAUUGUGUCUCACUGGAUCCUCCUUCUAUUGGCGGCAUGAAGUCACAUGACCAUCAUGUUCUUAUGCAGAAUCUGUUUCCGGUUGCGUUGAGAGGUUUACUCCCAAAAGGACCUCGGAUUGCAGUGAGUCGUAUGUGCAAUUACUUCAACAGAAUCUGUCAACGCGUUCUUGAUCCUGAGAAGCUACUUGCUCUAGAAACAGAGAUUGUGGAGACAAUGUGCCAGUUAGAGAGAUUCUUUCCACCUUCAUUGUUUGAUAUCAUGUUUCACCUUCCACUGCAUCUGGCGAGAGAAGCACGAUUGGGUGGCCCUGUACACUUCAGGUGGAUGUAUCCAUUUGAGAGGUAUAUGAAGACACUGAAGGCUUUUGUGAAGAAUUUCGCAAGACCUGAAGCUUGUAUGGCAGAGGGUUAUCUAGCUGGUGAAUGUCUUGCAUUUUGUAUGGAGUUCUUGCAGAAAUCGGUACCAGUUGAGGAACCAAUGACAAGAAAUGAAGAUUUAGAGGCACAUGAUAAUGUACUUGAAGGGCGCCCUCUUCAAAAAGCUACAGAAGUGAAACUUACUGAUAAGGAGAGAGAUGUAGCUCAUCGUUAUGUCCUCAUGAAUACUGCAGUGAUGGAUCCUUAUGUUCAAGGAACUUCAAGCAAAAGAUGGAAGAUGUGCAAGAAAUGGUACCAUAUUAUGGAAAACUCAUACAAAAAGGUUUUCGACAUGGAUAAAAGAUAAGGUAUGUGAUCUGGUCAUGGUAAUGAUAUUGAUAUGUGAUCUGGUAAUGAUAUUGAUAUGUGAUCUGUUCAUGCUAGAUACCAAAUAACUCAAAGGAUCAUUCUCAGCGGCUCAAUGUGUGAAUAUAUUUUACAUGAUUCAGGAUGUAGCUGCAUCUUUAGGAAAUGUUAAAAUAUUUGAUUACUGGAAACUAGAAGAGGAGUUGAUAGCUGAGGGUGUUUUGUUGACAACCGAACCUACUCACCUCGUCAACCAAAUUCCACUGGGACCGAAUGCAGCAGUUCUUAGAGUCGAAAUGGUUUUUAAACCUAAUGCCUUUAUCUGGAGACCUACACCUGAAAUGACAAAGAUGGGUGAUGCAGUACAUGGGACAAUAGCGUGGCCUCUAGAUAAGAUAAGACUACCUGAUCGAAAUUCUCCUACUGAUCAACAUUCACCUACUGAAUCAAACAAGAUAUCCAAUCAGAGUGGUGGUAACAGCACUAGUAGUAGCAACAAAGGUGGCAAACAGAAGGUUACUCUCUUGGACUGUCAUAACUUAGGACAGAGAGUUGCUUUAGGUCGUGUGUUCUCAACUGAUCCAGCAGAGAAAGUGCAUUUCGUUCCUUUAGGUCCCAAUGCUACGAAGGUUUGGGUAGAGGUUUCCGAGUUCGAUGGGGCUCGAGUGUGGAGGCCAAACUCUGAAAUCGAAUUCAUGGGUGAUGCAGUAGGAAGCACCGUGGCUUGGCCAAAUGAUAAGAUUGUGUAUCUCUAAGGAUGACAAUGUUGCUUUAGUGUGAAUUUAAAAUAUAUAAAUAUAUUAACAUAAUAUAUACAGCACAAAUGAAACUGCUAUAGUAGUACAUAUA